rnacentral:rRNA from 1 species
GACGAACGCUGGCGGCGUGCCUAAUACAUGCAAGUAGAACGCUGAAGGAGGAGCUUGCUCUUCUGGAUGAGUUGCGAACGGGUGAGUAACGCGUAGGUAACCUGCCUGGUAGCGGGGAUAACUAUUGGAAACGAUAGCUAAUACCGCAUAAGAGUAGAUGUUGCAUGACAUUUACUUAAAAGGUGCAAUUGCAUCACUACCAGAUGGACCUGCGUUGUAUUAUCUAGUUGGUGGGGUAACGGCUUACCAAGGCGACGAUACAUAGCCGACCUGAGAGGGUGAUCGGCCACACUGGGACUGAGACACGGCCCAGACUCCUACGGGAGGCAGCAGUAGGGAAUCUUCGGCAAUGGACGGAAGUCUGACCGAGCAACGCCGCGUGAGUGAAGAAGGUUUUCGGAUCGUAAAGCUCUGUUGUAAGAGAAGAACGAGUGUGAGAGUGGAAAGUUCACACUGUGACGGUAUCUUACCAGAAAGGGACGGCUAACUACGUG